rnacentral:rRNA from 1 species
GAGGCAGCAGUGGGGAAUAUUGGACAAUGGGGGCAACCCUGAUCCAGCGACGCCGCGUGUGUGAAGAAGGCCUGCGGGUUGUAAAGCACUUCUAGUGGGAUGAAAAGCACAUUGCUAAUACCAGUGUGUCUUGACCUAACCCAAAGAAAAAGCACCGGCUAACUCUGUGCCAGCAGCCGCGGUAAUACAGAGGGUGCGAGCGUUAAUCGGAAUUACUGGGCGUAAAGCGUGCGUAGACGGUUAUUUAAGUCGGAUGUGAAAGCCCCGGGCUCAACCUGGGAAUUGCAUUCGAGACUGAAUAGCUAGGGUACGGUAGAGGGAAGUGGAAUUUCCGGUGUAGCGGUGAAAUGCGUAGAUAUCGGAAGGAACAUCAGUGGCGAAAGCGACUUCCUGGACCAGUACCGACGUUCAGGCACGAAAGCGUGGGAGCAAACAGGAUUAGAUACCCUGGUAGUCCACGCCAUAAACGAUGAGGACUAGACGUUGGAGGGGUAAGCCUUUCAGUGUCGUAGCUAACGCGCUAAGUCCUCCGCCUGGGGA